rnacentral:rRNA from 1 species
AUUGAACGCUGGCGGCAGGCCUAACACAUGCAAGUCGAGCGAGCGGCGGACGGGUGAGUAAUGUCUGGGAAACUGCCUGAUGGAGGGGGAUAACUACUGGAAACGGUAGCUAAUCCCGCAUACCAUCAGAUGUGCCCAGAUGGGAUUAGCGAGUAGGUGGGGGAACGGCUAACCUAGGCGACGAGCCCUAGCUGGUCUGAGAGGAUGACCAGCAACACUGGGACUGAGAAACGGUCCAGACUCCUACGGGAGGCAGGAGUGGGGAAUAUUGCACAAUGGGCGAAAGCCGUAUGCAGCCAGGCCGCGUGUGUGAAGAAGGCCUUCGGGUUGUAAAGCACUUUCAGCGGGGAGGCGUUACCCGCAGAAGAAGCACCGGCUAACUCCGUGCCAGCAGCCGCGGUAAUAC